rnacentral:rRNA from 1 species
CUACGGGGGGCACCAGUGGGGAAUAUUGGACAAUGGGGGAAACCCUGAUCCAGCAAUGCCGCGUGUGUGAAGAAGGCCUGCGGGUUGUAAAGCACUUUCGGUUGGGAGGACUGCUUCUAGCACUAAUAUUGUUGGAAGUUGACGUUACCUUCAGAAGAAGCACCGGCUAACUCCGUGCCAGCAGCCGCGGUAAUACGGAGGGUGCAGGCGUUAAUCGGAAUUACUGGGCGUGAAGCGCGCGUAGGCGGCUAGAUCAGUCGGGUGUGAAAGCCCCGGGCUUAACCUGGGAACUGCAUCCGAUACUGUCUAGCUUGAGUACAGGAGAGGAGAGUGGAAUUCCACAUGUAGCGGUGAAAUGCGUAGAUAUGUGGAGGAACACCAAUGGCGAAGGCAGCUCUCUGGCCUGAUACUGACGCUGAGGUGCGAAAGCGUGGGGAGCAAACAGGAUUAGAUACCCCGGUAGUC